CGAAGUACCUCUUCCGAAGGAACCGUCCCCCCACCUCCUCCAAAUACCCAGAAUCUCAUGAGCCCGAUGUCAGUACCUGUCACACCGCAAUUCCCAUGAAUAGCUCCGUCUGCUUUUGGGGCCAGACCCCAGCAGGUUCCUGUAUUCACCCAUC